rnacentral:rRNA from 1 species
GUGGGGAAUUUUGGACAAUGGGCGCAAGCCUGAUCCAGCAAUGCCGCGUGCAGGAAGAAGGCCUUCGGGUUGUAAACUGCUUUUGUACGGAACGAAACGGUCCGGGUUAAUACCCUGGGCUAAUGACGGUACCGUAAGAAUAAGCACCGGCUAACUACGUGCCAGCAGCCGCGGUAAUACGUAGGGUGCAAGCGUUAAUCGGAAUUACUGGGCGUAAAGCGUGCGCAGGCGGUUUUGUAAGACAGGCGUGAAAUCCCCGGGCUCAACCUGGGAAUUGCGCUUGUGACGGCAAGGCUGGAGUGCGGCAGAGGGGGAUGGAAUUCCGCGUGUAGCAGUGAAAUGCGUAGAUAUGCGGAGGAACACCGAUGGCGAAGGCAAUCCCCUGGGCCUGCACUGACGCUCAUGCACGAAAGCGUGGGGAGCAAACAGGAUUAGAAACCCUUGUAGUCC